AACGCGAAGAACCUUACCUAGACUCGAACGGCUUAGGACCGGUGUAGAAAUACACUCUUCUCGCAAGAGACCUGAGUCGAGGUGCUGCAUGGCUGUCGUCAGCUCGUGUCGUGAGAUGUUGGGUUAAGUCCCGCAACGAGCGCAACCCUUGUCCUGUGUUGCUAAUCCGCAAGGAUGCACUCUCAGGAGACCGCCAGCGAUAAGUUGGAGGAAGGUGGGGAUGACGUCAAGUCAUCAUGGCCUUUAUGCCUAGGGCUACACACGUGCUACAAUGGACGGUACAAACCGCUGCAAACCCGCGAGGGGGAGCUAAUCGGAAAAAACCGUUCUCAGUUCGGAUUGCAGGCUGCAACUCGCCUGCAUGAAGCUGGAAUCGCUAGUAAUGGUAUAUCAGAAUGAUACCGUGAAUACGUUCCCGGGCCUUGUACACACCGGAGUGC
rnacentral:rRNA from 1 species